rnacentral:lncRNA from 1 species
UUAGAUAUACGAGUUUUUCAAGUAAUUGUAGAAUUUGAUUGGGGAGACAUAAUAACAUAACAUUAAGGGUGCGUUUGGUUCGAGUUAUCCUGGCAGGAUUACAGGCAAUCCUGCCAGGAUAACUGUAUUUGAUUAAUCCGCUAUGUAAUCUAGUGGUUAAUGUAGCAUUACAAAUCGAGCAGGAUUACAUCGAAAAUAUUAACGGGAGGGGGGUCGUGUAUCUUGCAUUACUAAAACCCGUUAAUACUACAUAUUAUGUAAAAUGACAAUUUUACCCUCCAACAAUCCCAAAUCUAAUUAACAGUAUUAUUUUCAUCUCUCUCUCUCGCCUUCCCCCCUCUCUCUCGCACGCCGCUUUCUCUCGCUCUCUCUCUCUCAACGUCUCUCGCUCUCUCUCCCCUCUCUCUCUCUCUCUCUCUCUCUCUCGCGCACGCGUACGAACACCUAUCAUUUUCUAUUGCGUCGUCCUCCCAGAUAAUCAUCAUGAUCUUCUUCACUCCAUUUGUCAUUUCCGCAAAAAAUAAUAUUCAAAUGACCACAACAAGGACAAUUUUGAAAAAACCUAUACUUUUAUGUCAAGAUUACUAAAUUUUAAAAAUUGAACCAAACGUAUUAAUGCUAUAAAUAGUGUAAUCUAGUAUUACAUUACUGCAUUAAACCAAACGCGCUAAUGCGGCAUCAGUAGUAAUCUUACACCGAAAUCCAAGAUACCUGGAUAUGUCGAGAUACUUUGUAAUAUUACAAAACUCGAACCAAACGGGCCCUAAGAGGAAUGCUUCAAUACACCAUAAGUAUUAAAUUUAAUUCCUUAAUUAGUAAAGGAUAUAGUUGGGAUUUAUAUGAAGUAACCUAUUGAACAGGUUACCGAUUUGAAUUAAUUAACAUGACAAUAUUGAAAAAAAAUUAGUAUAUACCAAAUUUGUCAGUAUCCUUUAAAUAUUAAAUAUCUUGUUUACUUUGAUAACUUACCAAAUUAGAUGAUACCCAAUUUAUUAAGUAUUCAUCUCAAAAAAAUAUUGAAUUUAAAUUUAAUUUUUGAAAUUAGUAUUGUAAUAUAAAAUUUUAAUUUUGAAAUGUAUAUUAAAUUUUUAAAUUUGAAUCUAAAUUGAACGUUUAAUCUUAAAGCCAAAUUUUAAUUUUUGAUUUAAAUUGAAAUUGUAAAUUGGAACAAAAAGUUUUAUUUUAAAUUUAUGUUUUAUAUUCAAAAAAUUAAAUUUGAUUUAUAAAGUUUUAAAUGUUGUUUUGAAUUUAAAUUUACAGUUUGGUUGUAAUUUAAAAUUCAACUAUUAUUGUAAGUAUUUAAGAGGGUCACAAUAUUCUUAGUUGGAUAAAACCGAUUUUGUGAACCAAACUAUUUUACAAAGACUAAAAUACCCUUUAAAUGGGAACCUGAUGAAUGGUAUCUAUGCUUCAAUAGCAGGUCACCUCUAUAAUCAUAUUAAAUCUAAAACAUCUAUUAAAAAAAAUAAAUGGUCAACAUUUAUAUGGAGUAUUGAAGUAUUCCUCUAACAUUAAUCUUUAUAAUUGAUCAUUUAGUAUCGCAA